CAUGAAAAUUGGACCGCAUUUUUCACAAAUUGUUGUAACCAACAAGUGUUAUGUUGUCAAUAAGCCGUCAUGAAACAUUGAAUAAGCAAGGAGAAAAAUUUACUAUAGCUUACAUAUUUUGUAAAGGUUUUACUAUAAAUUAAGUUAAUUAAUACUUAGAGAGAGUAUUUUUAAAUAGACGUAUGAUGCUGCAGAGCUACAGUAAUAUUUUUAUUGUAACUAAUGUAAGAUUUUUUGUAUGUACAUAUAAAGUUUUUAAAUAAAGUAACCAAUGUGUACCUUCCGCUGGCUAGAUAAACUGUGGGCCAACCCGCGGGAAAUUUCAAAUGACAAGAUGGCGGAAAUUUUUAUUCAAGUUGUUUUUGUAUUUUAUUUAAAUCUUUUUAAAUACACCGUGCUCAGUGAAGACACUCAUGCUGUUAUUACAAGUGCAAACGUAUGGGACUUUGCUUUCCAGUUCAACUUGAAAACGCCAUUUGUGAAGUUUUUGAGAAGUUAUAAUAAGUUUAGACUUUGGUUUGUUUAAAUGAUUUUGUCUUUUCUAGUAUGAAUCAUUUGUUGACAACAUGCAGAAAACUUAUUUCUUGGACAAAAAUGAAACGAUUCAGGUAGUUAAAAGAUAAAGACCUUCGCAUAUAACAUUCCUGAUUUCAAGAAUUACUUGAAAUGCUGAUCUAAGUAUGCAUUUAUUAUUUUAUUUGGCUCACUGGUGCAAGAGAAUUAAACUACGUCUCCCAAUUUUAUUUAUUUGCUUCCAAAUACAAGAGACUACAUAAAAUGAAAAAGAAGCAACAGUAUUUCUGAACUGCUGCACGAUAUAUAUAGUGGUUAGUAUCUUGUCACAGAGUUGGAUAUAGGAAGAUUUUUUCAAAAAUAAAAUCUUAUUUCUUAUAUUAAUAGAAGAAGAUUUCUUACAAUAUGAGAUUUCUUACUAAACUUUUAUGAUGUCCAAUGUCCAUGAUGCAGCCAAUUUUAGAAUAAUACAUAUUGUAAACAAUACAGUACAACAACUCAAACUUCAAAAUAACUUGGACCAAAUUGCCAACUUCAAAGUAGAAUAAUUAAUGAGAAUAAUAUAAAAUUUUUGCCAAAAAAAUCUUGUAUAAUAUAAGAAAAACGAAUAUAAUAUUUGCCAACCAUGUUUUGUCAUGGAUUGUAGGUGUGGGCCAAGGUUGUUCCAUUCCCUUGGCAAGAUAACAGAUUGAUU
rnacentral:lncRNA from 1 species